UACGGAGGGUGCAAGCGUUAUCCGGAUUCACUGGGUUUAAAGGGCGCGUAGGUGGGCAGGUAAGUCAGUGGUGAAAUCUCCGGGCUUAACUCGGAAACUGCCAUUGAUACUAUCUUUCUUGAAUACCGUGGAGGUCAGCGGAAUAUGUCAUGUAGCGGUGAAAUGCUUAGAUAUGACAUAGAACACCAAUUGCGAAGGCAGCUGGCUAGACGAAUAUUGACACUGAUGCACGAAAGCGUGGGGAUCAAACAGG
rnacentral:rRNA from 1 species